GAACACUAGGCAGCACAUGUACUAAAAUUGGAAUGAUACAGAGAAGAUUACCAUGACUGCUUUGCAAGGAUGACACGCAAGUUCAUGAAGUGUUCCAUAUUUUA